rnacentral:rRNA from 1 species
AUGGCCACCGCUGUGCCGCGCACCGCCGGCUCGGCCUCGUCCGUGGUUGACGUGGAGAUGGUGGAGGCGAGCGAGAUCCGGCGGCGGGCCAGGCCGGGCGACCGCGUGUCGCCGCCCGGCGACUGGGGAGAGUGGCGCGAGCGCGGCGUCGUCGCUCAGGGUGACCAGCCGGCGUCCCUGGAGCGCGUGUUCGCGGACCAGCGCGUGCCGUCGUGGCGUGAGCAGCUCACGGUGCGCGCCUUCGUGGCCAGCUUCUUCCUGGCCGUCAUGUUCAACAUCAUCGUCAUGAAGCUCAACCUCACCAUCGGCGUCAUCCCCUCGCUCAACGUCUCCGCCGGCCUCCUUGGCUUCUUCUUCGUCCGCCUCUGGACGUCGGCCAUCGAGAGGAUGGGGCUCCUCAAGCAGCCCUUCACGCGCCAGGAGAACACCGUCAUCCAGACCUGCGUCGUCGCCGCCUACGGCAUCCCCUACAGCGGGGGCUUUGGUAAUUACCUAUUGGCCAUGAGCGGCAGAAUCGCUUCGCAGGCAACAGAGGCAAAUAACCCUCAAAAUAUCAAGAAUCCGCAUCUUGGAUGGAUAAUUGGCUUCCUCUUCCUGGUCAGCUUCAUUGGGCUCUUCGGCCUUGUGCCACUGAGAAAGAUCAUGAUCAUUGACUACAAGCUGACCUAUCCAAGUGGCACUGCAACUGCCUAUCUCAUAAACGGCUUUCACACACCCCAGGGUGCCAAGAUUGCAGAGAAGCAAGUAAAGAAACUGGGUAAAUUCUUGGUUCUCAGCUUCUUAUGGGGUUUCUUUCAGUGGUUCUACACAGCCACUGAUGAAUGUGGAUUCCAGAAAUUCCCAUCAUUAGGGCUGCAAGCUUUCAACAACAGGUUUUACUUUGACUUCUCUUCUACCUAUGUCGGAGUUGGAAUGAUUUGCCCACAUAUUGUGAACGUAUCUGUUCUAUUGGGAGGCAUCCUCUCGUGGGGAAUAAUGUGGCCUCUUAUAGCCAAUAAAAGAGGCAGUUGGUUCUCUGCCGAUCUCCCUGAGAGUAGUCUCCGUGGAAUGCAAGGUUACCGGGUCUUCAUAGCCAUUGCCGUGAUUCUUGGCGAUGGCCUCUAUCACUUUCUCAAGAUGCUCAUUCUGACGGUCUACUCAUUAAGAUCUCGACUCAAGACGGGCAGCGCUAGUCCAUUUCCUGUCUCUGAUGAUGAAACAAGUAACGGUACAGCUGCUAUCUCAUAUGAUGAGCAGCGGCGCAAAGAACUAUUUCAAAAGGAUCAAAUACCCUGGUACAUUGCAUAUGGAGGUUACGUUGCUGUUGCCGCUGUAUCUAUUGGCACAGUCCCGCAGAUAUUCCCUCAAUUGAAGUGGUACCAAAUAUUGGUAGCCUAUAUCGUAGCACCGGUACUUGCCUUCUGCAAUGCCUAUGGAGCUGGCCUCACUGAUUGGUCUCUUGUUACAACUUAUGGGAAGCUUGCAAUCUUUGCUUUCGGUGCGUGGACAGGUGCUUCAAAUGGAGGUGUUCUUGCCGGUCUGGCUGCCUGCGGUGUGAUGAUGAGCAUUGUUUCUACCGCUUGUGAUCUGAUGCAGGACUUCAAAACAGGAUACCUGACACUGGCCUCACCAAGGUCAAUGUUUAUCAGCCAAAUCAUAGGCACUGCAAUGGGUUGCGUCAUUGCUCCCUGUGUUUUCUGGCUUUUUUACAAGGCCUUUGAAGACGUUGGGAUCAGUGGAAGUGAGUACCCUGCACCAAAUGCUGCCAUCUUCCGCAGCAUGGCAAUACUAGGUGUCGAUGGCUUCUCAUCGCUGCCAAAAAACUGCAUCACUCUUUGCUACAUAUUCUUUGUUGGAGCAAUCGCUGUUAACUUGAUAAGAGAUCUUGUUCCCAAGAAGGUAUCGAGAUUUAUGCCAAUCCCAAUGGCGAUGGCGAUACCAUUCUACCUAGGACCAUAUUUCGGCAUCGAUAUGUUCAUCGGGACAGUGAUCCUUUUUGUCUGGCAAAGGCUGGACAGAGUAAAAUCAGACACAUAUGCACCUGCAGUUGCUUCCGGCUUGAUUUGUGGCGAUGGGUUGUGGGUUUUGCCCCAGUCAAUGCUUGCUCUUGCCAAGGUGAAACCUCCAAUCUGCAUGAAGUUCCUGUCAAGAGGAGUGAACGCCAAGGUGGAUGCUUUCAUCGCAACAUUAUCAUAG